rnacentral:misc_RNA from 1 species
UCGAGUGUUACAACUCCCAAACCCUUUGUGAACCUUACCUAUUGUUGCUUCGGCGGGACCGCCCCGGCGCCUCUGCGCGCCGGAACCAUGGCGCCCGCCGGGGGACCGAAACUCUUUGAUUCAGUUAGUGGUAUUCUCUGAGUGGCACAAGCAAAAUAAAUUA